UCAUGUAUAAAAUGUUGAAGUAAUUGCUUAAAAUGUUGAAAUAGUACAAUCCAAAUGUUGAUUUUUAAAAAUAUAUUAGAGAAAUAAAAAUAUACUCAUAUUGGAUCUUAUUUUGUUGCAUUAAUUCCAAAUAACAUGGUGGUUCAAACGGAUUUCAAAAUGGAUUGACGGUUUAAAAGAAAAUCGUAUUUGAAGUUUGAAACUCGAAUUAGAUUCCCAUCCACCCCAUUCGCUC
rnacentral:lncRNA from 1 species